GCUUGUCUCAAAGAUUAAGCCAUGCAUGUCUCAGAAUAAAUCUCUAUACGUUGAAUCUGCAAAUGGCUCUUUAAAACAGUUAUUGUUUACUUGAUGGUCAUUCCUUACAUGGAUAACUGUGGUAAUUCUAGAGCUAAUACAUGCGUCAGAACCCAACUUUACGGAAGGGUCGUGUUUAUUAGAUACAAAACCAACAUCUCGUUGGUGAUUCAUAAUAACCAAGCGAAUCGUCGGUUUACCGACGAUAGAUCGUUCAAGUUUCUGACCUAUCAGCUUUGGUCGGUAGGGUAUUGGCCUACCGAGGCAAUGACGGGUAACGGAGAAUUAGGGUUCGAUUCCGGAGAGGGAGCCUGAGAAACGGCUACCACAUCUAAGGAAGGCAGCAGG
rnacentral:rRNA from 1 species